rnacentral:ncRNA from 1 species
CGGGUCAUGCAGGGGUACUCGCACGCCAAACGGCGUGCGUGUUGAGAGAGUCCCUUUGUACCAGUACGGAUAAUGCCGAUGCUGGGAGCGUCUUAGUCGCGGCC